UUUUAUUUUAAGUGGUUGAAGACGGCUGUUUCAUGCAAUUUUGAAUUUGAAAGAAAGUCAUGUCUUGUUUUGAUUGGUGCUUCAGCAUGUGCAGUCCAUUUUUACUUUUGUUUUAUUAUUUUAUUUAUCAAGUGUGUUUUUUAUCAACACAAAUCCAUUAGCCCAGUGGGAGAGGGGGUUGAUCCCCCCCUCAUGACCCUAAGGUCAAGGGUUCAACCUUCAGCGUGCGCAGAAUGUAUAUUUCUU
rnacentral:lncRNA from 1 species